CCCUGGCCUGCGGGGAGUCACGCUAUCCCAUGUGCCAGUUCGUCUCCCCCACCUCGAGCGGGAGACACGGCCGCAGCGUGGUCGUCGCGCGCACCUUGACGACACGAUCCUUGGGCCCCUUGCUCGCUGGGCUCCUGACGU
rnacentral:misc_RNA from 1 species